UUCCGUAGGUGAACCUGCGGAAGGAUCAUUAUCG
rnacentral:rRNA from 1 species